CUGGUUUAAAAGCCUCCAAUGCGGAGAGGAGCCAAGAUGGCGGAGGAGUAGGACGGGGAGAACACUUUCUCCCCCACAAAUUCAUCAAAAGAGCAUUUAAACGUCGAGUAAAUUCCACAAAACAACUUCUGAAUGCCGGCAGAGGACAUCAGGCACCCAGAAAAGCAACCCAACUCUUCGAAAGGAGGUAAUCACCUCCUGUUGAACUUGGUCCUCCUGGGACUCACUCACAACCCACAAAACGAGGCAGAUUGGACCCUGAAGGUCUUUGAAAGCCAAAUUAGAAAAAAGCCUUGCAAACUCUGCUUUGGUCUGUUGGAGCACUCGCUGUGGGGGAAGUAAGCUGCCAAGUAAAAAAUGGAACUACCCAGAGACCAUCACACUGUGGAAGCAGAGCUGGCCACAUGCUGAAGCUGCUGGAGAGAGAGACAUGCAACCAGCCCUCAGGUGUUCCAGCUCAGAGCCAAACACGUGGGCUAUGAAGCCUUCGGAUGCCCCAGCCUCGGUAUCCGUCUGCCUGCAACCACCUAGAGGACCUCAACAACAACAAAAAUUACCCGGCUGAGCCCAUCAACCCCUAGAAUGGAGAGAGACCAUGAUAAAUCACUGUUGUAAACCACUCAGUUUUGGACUGGUUUUUACACUGCAAUGCAUAAACAAUGAUUAUGCAAGUACUCUAUUUGGCUUUUUCUCAAUGUGUUUUUUAGUUAAUAAACACUGUGUUUCCCUAGGU
ensembl:lncRNA